rnacentral:rRNA from 1 species
UGGGGGAUAUUGCACAAUGGGCGAAAGCCUGAUGCAGCGACGCCGCGUGGGGGAUGAAGGCUUUCGGGUUGUAAACCUCUUUCGCUAUCGAACAAGGCCCGCUUAGGGUGGGUUGAGGGUAGGUGGAGAAGAAGCGCCGGCUAACUACGUGCCAGCAGCCGCGGUAAUACGCAGGGCGCGAGCGUUGUCCGGAAUUAUUGGGCGUAAAGGGCUUGUAGGCGGCUUGUUGCGCCUGCUGUGAAAACGCGGGGCUUAACUUCGCGCGUGCAGUGGGUACGGGCAGGCUUGAGUGUGGUAGGGGUGACUGGAAUUCCAGGUGUAGCGGUGGAAUGCGCAGAUAUCUGGAGGAACACCGAUGGCGAAGGCAGGUCACUGGGCCAUUACUGACGCUGAGGAGCGAAAGCAUGGGUAGCAAACAGG